CUACGAAGGGGGCUAGCGUUGUUCGGAAUUACUUGGCGUAAAGCGCGCGUAGGCGGACUGAUCAGUUGGGGGUGAAAUCCCAGGGCUUAACCCUGGAACUGCCUCCAAUACUGUCAGUCUUGAGUUCGGGAGAGGUGAGUGGAAUUCCUAGUGUAGAGGUGAAAUUCGUAGAUAUUAGGAAGAACACCAGUGGCGAAGGCGGCUCACUGGCCCGAUACUGACGCUGAGGCGCGAAAGCGUGGGGAGCAAACAGGAUUAGAAACCCUAGUAGUCC
rnacentral:rRNA from 1 species